CCACUGGAUAUAUCGUUCACCACUUUGCGUUCGGAAUCCCCGAAUAAAUCCCCCGAGGCGGUGAGGAAGCCAGCCGGCGGCUAUCUCGAGACUGCUACCAAUGCCAGCCGCAAGACGUCCCGACACCCUCCACGCUUCUCUUCUACCUCUUCUUCUUCUUCUUCUUCGUCUUCUUCAUCGUGGCCCGCGUCGUCUUCUUUCCUUUCUUCGUUUCUUUCACUUAUAACCGUGCGUUGUGCAUCGACAUCGCUCUGGCAUCCUUCUAGUCGUCGUCAUCCUCGUUCAUCUUCUCUUCUUGAGAUUUAAGUACACGCUUGUGCCAUUCGAAACGAGCAAAUGGAUCGAACUGAAGUUUGUAGUCUUUUCACGAUGCUCAAAGACCACUUUACACUGAAACCUUGUUUAAAGAAGGAAAUAGAGGAAUAUGAACAAUCGUUUUAAACCCGAGGAAACAUUUCCAUGAUUUCAAAGAGAAUCGUACAUCAUAGGUAAUAUCGUCAGUUUGCUGGAAGUAAAUAUGCGAG
rnacentral:misc_RNA from 1 species